CAGGAGGUGAACUCAGUGACGAUGUCAUCGAUGCAUUUGUUAUUCGACUUUGUUAUAAGAUUGAGACAACUAAUAGUUAUGAUCGAAAAAUACAUGUUACGAGACCUUGGCUUGCACAAGCAUUUCUGAAAGGAAAUAUUGAAAUGAUGGCAAAACGAAUGAAGGAAAAUGUUUCUCAGCA